UGCGGAGGAUGCGAGCGUUAUCCGGAUUUAUUGGGUUUAAAGGGUGCGUAGGCGGACUGUCAAGUCAGCGGUAAAAUUGAGAGGCUCAACCUCUUCCCGCCGUUGAAACUGGUGGUCUUGAGUGGAUGAGAAGUACGCGGAAUGCGUGGUGUAGCGGUGAAAUGCAUAGAUAUCACGCAGAACUCCGAUUGCGAAGGCAGCGUACCGGCGCCCUACUGACGCUGAAGCACGAAGGCGUGGGUAUCGAACAGG
rnacentral:rRNA from 1 species